UUCAAAAGUACCGGUUUGGCACCGGUAUCGGAUAAAACCUCAACGAUACCCAUCCCUACUCCUAACAUGCCUCCUUCCCCCUCUUCCUUUUCUUUCAGCCAUCAGUAGCAUGACAGUCUUAUUCAUUAUGAUCCACGCAUUUUAUUUGGUAAAGCUUUAGUUCAGAAUGCCCUUACUACUGCAACACUCCCCAUUUACCCAGGCUGGCACUUGGAGUACACUGGCUUGUGGCCCCUUGUGCCAGCAUUAGUGCUUUCCUCCUUUCUGCUGCUCACAAUUUACCGAUCACACUUUGACUAUUACCAUUAAAACAAGAGUCAGAAAAUUUAGCAACAGAGCUACGAUACUUUAAAUGUUAAAGUUUCAUGAUUCACGUGUGGAUGUUGCAUAAGAAAAGCAUGAUGUAUAAAGUAUAAGUGUUUCUGACCAGUUGUUCAUGUUCCUUCAUUUUUCCCUGAAAUCUAUCAAAUACUGUCCAACAGACUGAUGGCACAGCAGUGCAGAGGCUGCAGAACCUGCGUCUGAAGCCUCUGGUUUAAAAUACAGCAACAUGGGGUUAGUAUCUUGCCCAAGGACAUCAUGCAGACUGGCAUUAAACCACCAACCUUCUGGUUAGCAGGUGACCUGCUCGACCACCUGAGUUACAGCCGCCUCAUCAAAGUGACCAAUCACAUUAGAAUCCUGUCCUGCUUUGGGCUCCGCCUCCAAACCAUCCAAAGCGGGUUUAUUUGCACCAUGUAUGCAGGUAAACUCAAACAUCCAUUCAGCUGCUUCAGAAGGAAAAUGUCAGCUUGUGGUUUCAAUCACAGGAAACUCACAGGUUAGAGUCCAGCCAGAGGGCUGCUGUUGUUUAUCUGUAAAGUCUUUACAUUUACAGAAAGAAAUAAUUAUGUGGACACAUCUGGAUCAUCAGCAAACAUGAAACCAGGCGACCACCAGGACCAAGCUGACUGCUGACACAGAGUUCAUACUCUAACUGCUAGCUGCUCUGCUAGCUAAGUGAACUGAUGUUAAAGUGACAGCAGACUGAGUCAAAGACAGAAACCUUAUUUAAACAGCAAAUAUUCACCGGCUUCACUUCCUGAUCCAGGAUUCAAAGAGGACGUUGCACUUACUCAGCUUCUUCCCAUGAACGUCUUCACUCUGCAGCUCUGCUGUCUGGACCAGGUCUGUGUAGAAACAGAGACAAUCGUCUGCUUCAUCAGUCCUCUGUGUCUGCAGGCUGAAGUCACAUUAAACACUUCACACCAGCAAAGAGUCUGAAGCUCACAGGUCAAAGGUCAGCUGCUGCACCUUGUGUGAUAUUGUUUGAUCAAUAAUUAACCUGCAGCAGGUUUCUGCUCCAACUCCAACACACUGAACAACCCUGAGAACAAAUCAGAUGAUGUGGGUGUGUCUGCAAGCUUCAAUAGUAUUAAACACCUCACACCAGCAAAGAGUCUGAAGCUCGCAGGUCAAAGGUCAAAGGUCAGCUGCCACACUGUAUUUAACAUUGUAAUAUGUAUACAACCUGACUGUGGGCGUGUGUGCAGCCAUAAACAGUUUAAACAUUAAACACUGAACCAUAAAAGAAGCUUAAGCUGCAGCUCACAGGUCAAAGGUCAGCUGCUGGAGCCAGUUAUGACUUUACAUAAAUCAUCAUGUUUUCCCUCUCAGCACUUGGGCUGUUUUGACUCAGCUACACUAUGGGAAAUGGCCAAUGGUUCCACAGCUGUUCUUGUUCACAGCAUCAUCCAGUUAGAGAGGAAACUGUAUAAUGCAAUGAUGAUGUUCCAGCGUCAUGCUGCAGUUGUUGCUCCUCCUCCACAUGCUUACCUGCCACAGUUUAACUCCGCCUCUUAGACAGUCAUGUCACCUGAUCUGAAUGUUUUGUUGUACGAUGACAUCAUCUUGCCGUUGACGAGGAGGGCAAGAAAAACUAGUUUUGUCCUGCAGAUGGCGAUCUUGCACCGUGUUCAGAGAGCCGACACUUUGAUGAUGCUGGUCUACUCAGCUUACUUUUAGCCUGGGUUGGACUCUGUAUGAGCAGCUUCCACUCUGGUUUUCAUUGUUAAAUACACUUGUUUGAUUUCACGUGUAAAAGUUGGAAAAUAAAUAUUAAAUUAUUUGUUGGUACAUUUUUUCGCUUCAUUUGAGGAAUGAACUGUUAAGGUGGAGAAAUGAAUCAGGUUAAAAUAGUCGUCCUUUAAAUCAGUGCAGAUGUAUAAUGUAAUGUAAAAUGUUGAUAAUGGUUGUAGUGGGCUUGUAGUGUAAAUGUGGUCUGAUUAAAUGUGACAUUAAUGGUGACGCUGCAUAAACCUAAUAAAACAGUUCUAUUAGUGGGUCUGUGUGAUCAGCAUCAGUGGGUUAAGGUGAGGCCUUGACUAGUAGAACGUCAUGUUGGUGUAUGACAACACAUGAGCCAACAUCAGACUCCGAGCGCUACGAUGCUAAAGAUCAGAAGAUCCAGUGUGACAUCAUCGUUACCUGGCAACAGCAGCCCUCAUCUGACUUUAUUGGA